UAAUACAGAGGGUGCGAGCGUUAAUCGGAUUUACUGGGCGUAAAGGGCGCGUAGGCGGUUGUAUGAGUGUGAUGUGAAAGCCCCGGGCUCAACCUGGGAAGUGCAUCGCAAACGAUACGACUAGAGUAUAUGAGAGGGUGGCGGAAUUUCCGGUGUAGCGGUGAAAUGCGUAGAGAUCGGAAGGAACGUCAAUGGCGAAGGCAGCCACCUGGCAUAAUACUGACGCUGAGGCGCGAAAGCGUGGGGAGCGAACAGG
rnacentral:rRNA from 1 species